rnacentral:misc_RNA from 1 species
UGAAAACGCCCUGCACCGCGCAGCACCGAACUCCAGUCCCGUCAGACCGGAAAUUGCAAGUACACAUUUCUUGUUCGCUGUCUAAAUUCAAGAUAACAAGACUGCCACAUCUCACGCUUUUAAUGCAACAUGCAGGGAUUCAAAGCGGUCAGAAAUACGAGAGGAUAUAAAUCGGACCAAAUUAUGCCUGUAAAUGAUUUCUGCGUGGCGUAGUUCAACAAUUCGCGGCGAUCACCAAUCGAUCUUCGUCCAGAAUCACCACCACCGGAUCACCACACCGCGAAGAAUCCCGGAUCGCGCGCACCGAUCCCGCUCUGGUUUCAC